CUAAAAACUUAGCUUUACUUCUCUCCAAUGUUCACCCGUACCUCAAACAACAAAAUAAAACAUUUUACAUAUAAAGUAAAGGCGAUUAAAAAAUAUCUUAAAGCUAUAAAACAAGUACCGCAAGGGAAUAGUGAAAUAAUAAUGAAAAACUAAAGCACAUAAAAGCAGAGACUCAACCUCGUACCUUUUGCAUCAUGGUCUAACUAGUCCCUUCGAGCAAAAUGAGUUUUAAGUUUGAUCCCCCGAAACUAGGUGAGCUACUUAAAAACAGCCUUCUGGGCCAACCCGUCUCUGUUGCAAAAGAGUGGGAAGAUUUUUUAAGUAGAGGUGAUAAACCUACCGAACCUAGAGAUAGCUGGUUAUUCAGGAAAAGGAUUUAAGUCCUACCUUAGGUUUUUUGUAUAUACAAGUACCACAUCAA
rnacentral:rRNA from 1 species